rnacentral:tmRNA from 1 species
GGGGCUGAACGGUUUCGACUGCGUACGUUGAGUUAGGGGAAGCGUGUCGGUGCAGGCAAGAGAGACCACCGUAAGCGUCGCUGCAAACCAAUAAGCGCCGAUUCCAAUCAGCGCGACUACGCCCUCGCUGCCUAAGUAGCGACUGCGUGUCUGUCAGUCCGGGUUCGCCCUCGGCCCGGUACUGGCAUCAGCUAGAGGGCUUUACCGUUCCACUCGGUCGCGGAGUGGCACGGGACAUCCAACAGCGACUGGGAUCGUCAUCUCGGCUUGUUCGUGGGACCGGGAGAUCCAAGUAGAGGCAUAGCGAACUGCACACGGAGAAGCCCUGGCAAAGCGGCGGAGGACCCGGGUUCGAUUCCCGGCAGCUCCACCG